UAUGUGAUACUGUUUUUUUUUAAUUAGUGAAAACUGGAUAGAGAUCGGAACGAUGAUGGAAAACAAAAGGAGCCCUUGCUCUGUUGAUCAUACCAGUUUCACUUCUUUGGCAUCGAAACGACAGAAGUCCGACUUAUCGAUCCCCACCAAGAUACAGCUUCUGUUCUCUUGGAAGCAAUGGAAUACAUACGGUUUCUUCACGAACAAGUUAAGGUUUUGAGUGCUCCGUAUCUUCAAACCGGGCCGAUAAAUAACAUGCAAGCGGAACCAGGAUGUAGAGCAUUAUAGCCUGAGAAGGCAAGGACUAUGCCUCGUUCCAAUAUCGUAUACCGCCGGAGUUGCUCGUAGCAACGGUGCCGAUAUUUGGGCUCCCAUCAAGACCACAUCGCCAAAAUUCGACAAGGCUAUCUCACCAUUCAAUUGACAUUUUUCAUCGGCUACCGAUAGUCUUUGAACAUCACUUGAAUGGAGUUUAAAAGUUUUGAAUCUUUGUA